rnacentral:rRNA from 1 species
UACGUGGGGUGCGAGCGUUGUCCGGAUUUAUUGGGCGUAAAGAGCUCGUAGGCGGUUUGUCGCGUCGGCCGUGAAAUCUCCACGCUCAACGUGGAGGGGCCAUUCGAAACUGCCGUGACUCGAGUCCGGUAGGGGAGUGUGGAAUUCCCGGUGUAGCGGUGAAAUGCGCAGAUAUCAGGAAGAACACCUAUGGCGAAGGCAGCUCUCUGGGACGGUACUGACGCUGAGACGCGAAAGCGUGGGGAGCAAACAGG